rnacentral:rRNA from 1 species
UACGUAGGUGGCAAGCGUUGUCCGGAAUUAUUGGGCGUAAAGCGCGCGCAGGCGGUCCUUUAAGUCUGAUGUGAAAGCCCACGGCUCAACCGUGGAGGGUCAUUGGAAACUGGGGGACUUGAGUGCAGAAGAGGAAAGCGGAAUUCCACGUGUAGCGGUGAAAUGCGUAGAGAUGUGGAGGAACACCAGUGGCGAAGGCGGCAUCCUGGACCGGCAUUGACGCUGAGGCGCGAAAGCCAGGGGAGCAAACGGG